UUUAUUUUUGAGUGUCUUGGCCACCCCCUGUGGCAUGUGGGAUCUUAGUUCCCCCAACCAGGAAGCACUGGAAGCACAGAUGCCCAACCAACCCCUGGACCAGGGAACUCCCUACAGUAUUUUUAGAUUAAGGGGCCUGGGACUGAACCCACAGUAUCUCUGAGGUGCGCCUGUACGUAGCAACAGGCAGAAUCCCCACACUGGUUCCAUCACUUGUGGAGUGAGGCUUAUUAUGGAAAACCAAGUGGAAAUCAUGAGAACUGCCUCUACCCAGGAAAAUGUACACGGAGACCAAUACGGCAUCCCCAGAGGGACUGCAGAGAUCAGCGCCACCAUCAGGGCCUUAGAGAUGCAGAGGUGCUGACCCCACAUUUCUGUUCAACCCUCAUUCUCUGCAGAAGACAGCCACGUGGCGUGUGGGGUCCUAGUUCCCUGGCCAAGGAUCAGCAGGGUUCCCUGCAGCGGAAUCGCAGAGUCCUAACCACAAGACCACCAGGGAAGCCCCCUGCAUCAUGGGAUUUAAGUUACAAGAUCGCAUAGAGAAGAGUGACCAUCAACCAAGGACUUGGCAUCCUCUCCUGGGGAAAGGAUCAGUGUGUUUGGAUUAUGGGCGGGAUAGUCACAUCACAUUCCAUGGAAGCAAGGCUUUGUCACUGACUUGAUCUGGAGGUCUGACUGUGCAAAAGCUUGUGUUUCCUGCUGCAUAGCUGGCCAGCAAGCACGCAGGCAGGCACAUGCCACGGGGUCAACACUCAGUGCCGCACUCAGGACCUUCCUGGUGGCAAGUGUGCCUGCCCUCAUGGAGCUCACACCCUGGCAGGACCACGAAGAUGAAACAAGGGAACCAGUGGACCCAAAACAGCAAGGACUGGGGCGGGGGAAGCAUAGCAAGAGAAAGUGAUGGGGUGAGGGAUAUUUUAGAGUGGUGUGCUUGGAGAAGUUCAAGUGGUUAGACGGUGGUCAGGGAAGGGCUCUGAGAGGUGAUACCUGAAUGAUGAGCUGGAGCAAACCAAGCCAAGAUUUGGGGAAGAGUUGCCCAAGUGGCAAGAAAGGCAAGCGCAAAGGCCCUGAGGCAGGAGCAAGGUCCGAAAAGCCACUGUCUUAGAAGGUGGCAGGUGGCUGGCGUCCUUCGGUCCACAGGUAUGUAGUGAGGUCCUACUAUGCGCUGGGCACAGCUGCAGAAACUCACCUCCUAGCGAUGGGCAGCUUCCUCCCUGCCAGCCCUGAGGACUGAGGCCUCGCUGGACCAGAGUGUAUUAAUGCCCAGCAGCUUUCCUCCCAGCCCGGCGAGGAGGAGGAGCCAUGAUGAGAAAACAGCUGACUGUGGGCCAGGCAAGCAGUACAGCCUCUAAUUCUCCCACCAACUCUAGGAGAGUACAUCAUGAGAAAUGCUGGGCUGGAAGAAGGACAAGGUGGAA